GUCUAUGGCCAUACCAUCCUGAACACACCAGAUGUUGUCUGAUCUCAGAAGCUAAGUAGGGUUGGGCCUGGUUAGUAUUUAGAUGGGAGAAAGUUCAUUUAUUGACU
rnacentral:rRNA from 1 species